rnacentral:rRNA from 1 species
UACGUAGGGGGCUAGCGUUAUCCGGAAUUACUGGGCGUAAAGGGUGCGUAGGUGGUUUCUUAAGUCAGAGGUGAAAGGCUACGGCUCAACCGUAGUAAGCCUUUGAAACUGGGGGCCUUGAGUGGGCGAGAAGAAGGCGGAAUGCGUGGUGUAGCGGUGAAAUGCAUAGAUAUCACGCAGAACCCCGAUUGCGAAAGCAGCCUUCCGGCGCCCUACUGACGCUGAGGCACGAAAGUGCGGGGAUCGAACAGG